AUCCAAGGAAGGCAGCAGGCGCGCAAAUUACCCACUCCCAGAACGGGGAGGUAGUGACGAAAAAUAACAAUACGGGACUCUUUUGAGACCCCGUAAUUGGAAUGAGUACACUCUAAACACUUUAACGAGUAUCUAUUGGAGGAAAAGUCUGGUGCCAGCACCCGCGGUAACUCCAGCUCCAAUAGCGUAUAUUAAAGUUGUUGCGGUUAAAAAGCUCGUAGUUGGAUCUCAGUUCGAGACGGAUGGUCCGCCUACCGGUGGUUACUGUCUGUUCUCAACACCAGCCGGUUUCUCUAGAUGAUCUUCACCGGUUGUCUUGGGUGACCGGCAAGUUUACUUUGAAAAAAUUAGAGUGCUCAAAGCAGGCGCGACGCCUGAAUAAUGGUGCAUGGAAUAAUGGAAUAGGACCUCGGUUCUAUUUUGUUGGUUUUAGGAACACGAGGUAAUGAUUAAGAGGGACAGACGGGGGCAUUCGUAUUGCGACGCUAGAGGUGAAAUUCUUGGACCGCCGCACGACGAACUACUGCGAAAGCAUUUGCCAAGAAUGUUUCCAUUAAUCAAGAACGAAAGUUAGAGGUUCGAAGACGAUCAGAUACCGUCCUAGUUCUAACCAUAAACGAUGCCAGCCAGCGAUCCGGCUGUGUUCCUCAAAUGACACGCCGGGCAGCUUCCGGGAAACCAAAGCUUUUGGGUUCCGGGGGGAGUAUGGUUGCAAAGCUGAAACUUGAAGGAAUUGACGGAAGCGCACACAAGGAAUGGGGCCUGCGGUUCAAUUUGACUCAACACGGUGCAACUCUCCUGGCCCGGACACAGGAAGGAUUGACAGAUUGAGAGCUCUUUCUUCAUUCUGUGAUAGGUGGUGCAUGGCCGUUUCUGGUUGGUGGAGUGAUUUGUCUGCUUUAUUCCGAUAACGA
rnacentral:rRNA from 1 species